UGUGUAGGCUGUUUGGUAUGUCGGAUGUGAAAUCUCACCGCUCACCGGUGAAACUGCAUUCGAAACUGCCAGGCUAGAGUACGGGAGAGGAGAGCGGAAUUCUUGGUGUAGCGGUGGAAUGCGUUGAUAUCAAGAAGAACACCGGUGGCGAAGGCGGCUCUCUGGAACGUUACUGACGCUGAGACACGAAAGCUAGGGGAGCGAACA
rnacentral:rRNA from 1 species